rnacentral:rRNA from 1 species
AGAGUUUGAUCAUGGCUCAGGACGAACGCUGGCGGCGUGCCUAACACAUGCAAGUCGAACGGGACCAGGGGCAACUCUGGUUCAGUGGCGGACGGGUGCGUAACACGUGAGGAACAUGACUUUCGGUGGGGGAUAGCCGGCCCAACGGCCGGGUAAUACCGCGUACGACCUCUCGGGGACAUCCCCGGUUGGUGAAAGCAGCAAUGCGCCGAAAGAGUGCCUCGCGGCCUAUCAGCUAGUUGGUGGGGUAACGGCCCACCAAGGCGACGACGGGUAGCUGGUCUGAGAGGAUGGCCAGCCACAUUGGGACUGAGACACGGCCCAGACUCCUACGGGAGGCAGCAGUGGGGAAUAUUGCGCAAUGGGCGAAAGCCUGACGCAGCGACGCCGCGUGUGGGAUGACGGCCUUCGGGUUGUAAACCACUGUCGGGAGGGACGAAUGCGCCGCAAGGCGAGUGACGGUACCUCCAAAGGAAGCACCGGCUAACUCCGUGCCAGCAGCCGCGGUAAUAC